ACACUCUUGUUUAUCUUCAGAUUGUAUAAAUCUUUCACCUUUUACUAAAGUUUCCUUGGAGAGGAAUAACAAGAGUUCAAUCUAAUUUUUGAUGCCCUGCUUUACUGUGGGGC